AGCCUAUGGGGGCCAUUCUUACUCAGAUCACCACAAGGAUCAUACAAGGGUCACCAAGCCCCACCUCAACUACAGCACUCGUUGUGGCAGGAGCACUGUCGGGCACUAUGUUGAAGCAACCAGAAGCUGACUGAUACCCCCGCGCCAUCAGCUGACUGUGACAGGAACGUGAAUGAGUGAGGGACAUCCUCCAUCCUCACUCCUGUCAUUUCUAUUGUCAUUCUACCUUCCCUAUACUCAGGACUCCUGGAUUUGGUCCUUGCAGUUGUAAGAUGGACUUCUCUCCAAGCAGCUGGAAACCCCCUGAGUUCCGGUACUUUCACAAUCAGAGUUACCAUCAAGAGCCAUCCUUGUGCCUCCACUGAACUUUUUUAUAACUCCAUGUUUACCAGCUUUACAGAUGAAGAUGCUGAGACUCCGAAUGGUGACAAGGUCACCCAGUGUGGAGUGAGAACUUGUAUGCGUGGCUCUAUCACAGGGACCUAAGCUGUGUGUCACAGUCAGACACAGGUCCUCCCGAUGCAGAAAGCCAUAGCUGCUCUUGGCUGUAGCCUCCUGGGACUCAGAAUUUCCUAAGCCAGCCCCACCCAGGUCUUCCACUGCAGGAGAAGGCAAGGCAGGAGACCUCGCGGAGAGGGGAGGAGACUAUUAUAGGGUCAGGGAGCCACGAGACAACAGCUGGACUCCAGGCACAGGGCAUCAGGCAGCAACCAUCCUUUCCUUCCAUGUCAAAGGUCAUUACUGAAUGGGGGAGACGCAAGAAAAGAUGUCCUGGAAUGUACCCGGGCAGCCCUGGUGCCUGCAAGCUGGCUCUACUAAGUCCCUGCUUCAUAGUAAUGGAAUGGGACUUGCAGACACUGCCAGACCCUUCUACGAGCCCUAAGACUCCUGGCUAGAAUUGACCAAGAAACUGAU